CGCGGCCCGCUGUCUCGUUCUCGGCUUGACCACGGCCACUCAAGCACCCUGAAGGAGAAACAUUAAGGGAGUGUUUCAUGAUCUUUGUUUCCUUCUGUUUUUCAAUGGCAAGAAAAAAAAAGGAUCGCGGAGACCUCACUUGUGGCGUCGCAGCUCACCUGAGGGUCUUGUACGUGAUCUCGUGGACAUCCAGGCCAAAUAGCUCCUUGGCAGCAUACUUGAACACAUGUUCGAGGAAACCGUCGGAACCGCGCCCUUCGUGGCGAACCAGGGCCGUGUCUCCAGCUUCUCCAAGGCUGCAAAAGCAAUUUUGAAAGAUAACAGACUCAACUUGACUUCUUGACCUGAUGAAUACACGGCACGCCCCUGCUGCUGGUUUCCAACAGCUGCAUUCAGGAAACUGAUUGUUUUGAAGAUGAAAGGAUUCUGCCACACCAAAAACGAAUCUAAAAACGGAUCGGCCAAGGACUCACACAUGGUCCAACGGAAAAGAGUCCAUAUCCUCUGCAGACACCUUCUUCUGUUGCAUCAGGUAGUAAAUUUCCCCUGGAACAUGACGCAAAAUAUCCCAUGACUGAAUUUGAAUGCACGAACGAAUCUCUCAAAAUUAGCUAUAAUAGUAGAUUUACAAAAAUGUUCCCAACUCUACUAUCUUUGACAAAAAUAAAAUGAUUAAACAUCCCACUGAGUAUCAAGGGAUGGAAAGGACGGUAGGGCGUGGUUUAUGGUAUUUGCGGGACAAUAAACAACCGUCCAUGUGUCUUGGUUGUUGUGUG